AGCACAUUUACUGCAAUGUCAAGGUCACAUGGAUUCGUCUGCAAGCGAGACAAGUAGAAAAUGAAUUUUAAUGAAUGUUUUGAUGAUUUGGGUGCUAAAAUAGAUGAGAGGUGUCAAUAUUUUGGUCCAAAUGGAUGUUUUAGGUGGUUUUGGACUGUUCCGGAUGGGUGGGGGACCUGGUAUGGACAAGUAAGGGUAAGAUUUCCAACAAAUCUUAAAUGUAAAUAUUAUUAUGUCCAUAGAUUGAAGUUUCAGGUGGAGAGCAAGAUGAAAAAUAUGCAAAAUUACAUGCAUGCAACCCAUUUAUGCCAUUUUUCUCUUUGUUUGUAGGCCUGACCGUUUGUCCUUGAGCCGUAGAUGGUCAACAAUCCGCUAGCUGUCUUGCUCUGACUGGUGCACUGGACAUGAUUUCAAUAGUCAGCCAGACCAUGAUUGAGCUUAAGGGUUGUGCUGCGGAUGCAGCCUGUGCAGUUCCGGGAGAAAGUCACUGUCUCGGGCAAUGCGGUCUGGUAUCAGGUCUGGAUGAUCCUUGCCUGACUGCGGGUUUGUGUACACCUCAAUCCGACUCUGUGUCCUGAACAGAGGCCGCAGUGGUGCAGCGCUUGUGGACGAUCCAUCAACAUCCUGAAAGGUCAACACUACACCAAGCUGGGAAAAUUGAUCCUGAUAGUCAUCCCCAGGUAGUGGAAUGAAUGUUCACUGAACUACAGAGGAAUCACACCCAAAUGACUUUCCUGCCACGACAUUAGUGUGGCCACUCGCGUAGGAAUUCCUUAGCAAACAUGCUCUUUUGCAUGGUGACUGUGGACAUUUUUGCAAAACUUACGCUUUCAACACUGGAUUUUAAAGAGAAUACUUAAUAAAAUGUCGCUAACUGGACUUAUUUAUAUGAGAGAGACUAUCUGGAUGCGCAUUAAGUGUCACUUUGUGUCGUAAGCUGUUGAAGGAGCGAUUUGCGCCUUUUUAAGUGUUAAUUUUGGGUAGCCGGCUUGUAUGGGCUUGAAAGCUGAAAAUUAUGCCUCUCAUCAUAAUAGCAUUAAUUUUUGUAAUUGCAAUGUGUAUGUUUAGAUUGUAAGUGAAGCUUUUAAUAAUAAUUUUCUUAAAAAACAUGAUUUUAUA